rnacentral:rRNA from 1 species
GACGAACGCUGGCUGCGUGCUUAACACAUGCAAGUCGAACGCUGAAGCCCCAGCUUGCUGGGGUGGAUGAGUGGCGAACGGGUGAGUAACACGUGAGUAACCUGCCCCUGACUUCGGGAUAAGCCCGGGAAACUGGGUCUAAUACCGGAUACGACUAUCUGACGCAUGUCUGGUGGUGGAAAGUUUUUUCGGUUGGGGAUGUGCUCGCGGCCUAUCAGUUUGUUGGUGAGGUAAUGGCUCACCAAGACGACGACGGGUAGCCGGCCUGAGAGGGCGACCGGCCACACUGGGACUGAGACACGGCCCAGACUCCUACGGGAGGCAGCAAUGGGGAAUAUUGCACAAUGGGGGAAACCCUGAUGCAGCGACGCAGCGUGCGGGAUGACGGCCUUCGGGUUGUAAACCGCUUUCAGCAGGGAAGAAGCCUUCGGGUGACGGUACCUGCAGAAGAAGUACCGGCUAACUACGUG